CGUGUAGGCGGGAAGGAAAGUCAGAUGUGAAAUCCCCAGGCUCAACCUGGGAACUGCAUUUGAAACUCCCUUUCUUGAGUAUCGGAGAGGAAAGCGGAAUUCCUGGUGUAGAGGUGAAAUUCGUAGAUAUCAGGAGGAACACCAGCGGCGAAGGCGGCUUUCUGGACGGUAACUGACGCUGAGACGCGAAAGCGUGGGGGAGAAACA
rnacentral:rRNA from 1 species